rfam:Ruminococcus sp. CAG:382 genomic scaffold, scf197
GGUGUGCGAUGAAACCGGAGAUUGCUGCGUAAGCGCAGGUAACUUCGGCGGAGUAUGUCCGACAA